GGUUUCGUGGUGUAGUUGGUUAUCACAUCAGUCUAACAUCGAUUUGGUACACUGAAGGUCUCCGGUUCGAUCCCGGACGAAACCA